rnacentral:rRNA from 1 species
GACAAAGGGGGCUAGUGUUAUCCAUCAUAAUUAGGUGUAAAAGGUACGUAGAUUGGUUAUUUAAAAUUAAUUGUUAAAGGUUAUAAAAAAUUAUAAAGACAAUUAGUUUUAAAAAUCUCGAGAAAAAAUUAGGUAAAGGGAAUCACUAGUGUAGGGUUGAAAUCCAUCAAUAUUAGUGGGAAGGCUAAAAGCGAAAGCAUUUUACUAAAUUUUUCUGACAUUGAGGUACGAAAGUCUGGGGAGCAAAUGGG